GUAAGGUUGGUGAGCAUCGAGCUUCUCAACAUAACCUAUUAAUCUAGAAGAAGCACCUGUCUCGAAGCCACUUGUCUGGAGGUUGCCGUUGAAGCUGCCAAUUAGAGAUAAUCAUAUUCUCUUUGGGAAACCUAAGAAGUUGAUGAGGAAAAACCUAGAACACCUUGAAAGAUUGUAGUUGCAGAGGCUGGAGGAACACACCUGGAAAAUGACAGAUUCUCAAAUAGGAGAGUCACCGGCUCCACUGGAAUGCCGAGUCCACUCUCCUCCAUAUCAAUAUGAUACCUGCCAAACUGUUUCCAACUUCUGGAAUUGAGGAGAUGGCACUUAGAAAGAAGAAAACUGAUGAACCAAAGUAUGCUACUAAGAACAAGAGAACCAGAUACUCGAGAAAUGGUGUCACAUUUCCUGCCAAUGAUAGCCCGGCUAGAAAGUAAACACACAGAGUGUAUACCAAUGCCUGCAAGAAUUACUGAAGAUUUCAGUUCUGUGACUUCCAUGAUUAUUUCUAACGAGGAAAAGAUAUUGAGAACUUACUUCUAUGAAGGUCUGAGGGAAAUUGACUAUGCAAUGAGCUACUACGUAGGAAGAAGUUCUGAAGAAUCUCUUUGCCCUAUGCUUGUAAAAUAUAGGUCUUUGUAGCAUGUACAAAGGAAACUGCACCAGAUUUAUGAGC